AACAAGGAUUCCCCUAGUAGCGGCGAGCGAAGCGGGAAGAGCUCAAAUUUAUAAUCUGGCACCUUCGGUGUCCGAGUUGUAAUCUCUAGAAGUGUUUUCCGCGUUGGACCGCACACAAGUCUGUUGGAAUACAGCGGCAUAGUGGUGAAACCCCCGUAUAUGGUGCGGACGCCCAGCGCUUUGUGAUACACUUUCAAUGAGUCGAGUUGUUUGGGAAUGCAGCUCAAAUUGGGUGGUAAAUUCCAUCUAAAGCUAAAUAUUGGCGAGAGACCGAUAGCGAACAAGUACCGUGAGGGAAAGAUGAAAAGCACUUUGGAAAGAGAGUUAACAGUACGUGAAAUUGUUGGAAGGGAAACGCUUGAAGUCAGACUUGCUUGCCGGAGCUUGCUUCGGUUUGCAGGCCAGCAUCAGUUUUCCGGGGUGGAUAAUGACGGUUUGAAGGUAGCAGUCUCGGCUGUGUUAUAGCUUUCCGUUGGAUACGCCCUGGGGGACUGAGGAACGCAGCGUGCUUUUUGCGAAAGACUCGUCUUUUUCACGCUUAGGAUGCUGGUGGAAUGGCUUUAA
rnacentral:rRNA from 1 species